rnacentral:rRNA from 1 species
AUUGAACGCUGGCGGCAGGCCUAACACAUGCAAGUCGAGCGGAGCGGCGGACGGGUGAGUAAUGCCUAGGAAUCUGCCUGGGAGAGGGGGAUAACGUCCGGAAACGGGCGCUAAUACCGCAUACUAUCAGAUGAGCCUAGGUCGGAUUAGCUAGUUGGUGGGUUAAAGGCCUACCAAGGCGGCGAUCCGUAAAUGGUGUGAGAGGAUGAUCAGUCAAAUUGGAACGGAGACACGGUCCAGACUCUAACGGGAGGCAGAAGUGGGGAAUAUUGGACAAUGGGCGAAAGCCUGAUCCAGCCAUGCCGCGUGUUUAAAGAAGGUCUUCGGAUUGUAAAGCACGUUAAGUUGGGAGGCGUUACCAACAGAAUAAGCACCGGCUAACUUCGUGCCAGCAGCCGCGGUAAUUC